rnacentral:rRNA from 1 species
ACGGAAGGCAGCAGUGGGGAAUUUUGGACAAUGGGGGCAACCCUGAUCCAGCAAUGCCGCGUGAGUGAAGAAGGCCCUCGGGUUGUAAAGCUCUUUUGUCAGGGAAGAAACGGAGUUCUCUAAUAUAGGAUUCUAAUGACGGUACCUGAAGAAUAAGCACCGGCUAACUACGUGCCAGCAGCCGCGGUAAUACGUAGGGUGCAAGCGUUAAUCGGAAUUACUGGGCGUAAAGCGUGCGCAGGCGGUUUUGUAAGUCUGAUGUGAAAUCCCCGGGCUCAACCUGGGAACUGCAUUGGAGACUGCAAGGCUAGAGUGUGUCAGAGGGGGGUAGAAUUCCACGUGUAGCAGUGAAAUGCGUAGAGAUGUGGAGGAAUACCGAUGGCGAAGGCAGCCCCCUGGGAUAACACUGACGCUCAUGCACGAAAGCGUGGGGAGCAAACAGGAUUAGAUACCCUGGUA